UUGAGACGAGAGGGACAUUUAUGUAAAUAGAGUCAAACCUUGAAGCAAGAUCUUAGUACAGCAUCUUGUUUGCCAUUGUAGACAGUAGAGGUUGGAGACUGGAGAAAGCACAGAGAUGAGAGAGAAACAAGAAAAAGAGACCUCCUCCUCAUCAAUCAAUCCAUCCAUCAAAAAUAUUAUUAUUAAUAUAUUUUUUAGUCGUCAAUGAAAAAGUACUCUAGAGAUAAAAAAACCAUUCACCCUCCUGCCUUUUGUUCUCUGAGAGUUGUAUUUAUUUGCUUUGAGAGUGUGAAGAUAGAUUGAGCAUUUUUAGACAGUCGAGAGAUACUGAACGAGUAUUUCUAUCUCAUGGUGAAGUGGUAGUGGAGAAGUUGCAGCGUUUUAAUGGUAAUUAUUUGAAAGGAAAGACUUAUUCUGGAAAUUAGGGUUUUAAAGUUGGAAAUCAACAUCAGUAACAUUCCAACCUUAAGGAUUUCCAUAAUUAGAUACAUACAUACGAUUUGAAAAUUUAAAGUUGAAGAACUCUUAGGAGACGAGGUAAUGCUUGCUGCCAAAUAGUAAUUUGAUAUGAUUACAGGGUCAUCCUUCUUCUCCCCUUUAGUGGCAGUCAUUAUUGCUCUUUGAUCAGGGAGGUAGAUAUGAUUUUAUGUGUUUUAAUGAUUAGGGUUCACUUGAGGUUUAUAUUUCCUGCCAAGUUAAUCUCUAAAUCUAUGGGAUCAGAUGAAUCUCUAAAAUUUAGUUUUGGGACCAGUUGAAUCUAAUGAUUGUAUAGUAGA